rnacentral:rRNA from 1 species
CGUGUAGGCGGCCAGAAAAGUCCGCUGUGAAAACUCGAGGCUCAACUUCGAGCUGUCGGUGGAAACUUUCUGGCUAGAGUCCGGAAGAGGAGAAUGGAAUUCCUGGUGUAGCGGUGAAAUGCGCAGAUAUCAGGAAGAACACCCGUGGCGAAGGCGGUUCUCUGGGACGGUACUGACGCUGAGACGCGAAAACGUGGGGAGCGGAAC